GGUUAAGCGACUAAGCGUACACGGUGGAUGCCCUGGCAGUCAGAGGCGAUGAAGGGCGUGCUAAUCUGCGAUAAGCGCCGGUAAGGUGAUAUGAACCGUUAUAACCGGCGAUACCCGAAUGGGGAAACCC
rnacentral:rRNA from 1 species